rnacentral:rRNA from 1 species
GUGGGGAAUAUUGGACAAUGGGCGAAAGCCUGAUCCAGCAAUGCUGCGUGAGUGAUGAAGGCCUUAGGGUUGUAAAGCUCUUUUACCAGGGAUGAUAAUGACAGUACCUGGAGAAUAAGCUCCGGCUAACUCCGUGCCAGCAGCCGCGGUAAUACGGAGGGAGCUAGCGUUGUUCGGAAUUACUGGGCGUAAAGCGCACGUAGGCGGUUACUCAAGUCAGAGGUGAAAGCCCGGGGCUCAACCCCGGAACUGCCAUGGAAACUAGGAAACUAGAAUCUUGGAGAGGUCAGUGGAAUUCCGAGUGUAGAGGUGAAAUUCGUAGAUAUACGGAAGAACACCAGUGGCGAAGGCGACUGACUGGACAAGUAUUGACGCUGAGGUGCGAAAGCGUGGGGAGCAAACAGGAUUAGAUACCCCGGUAGUCC